rnacentral:tRNA from 1 species
UAUAUUUAAGUGUAAAAGCAUAUAAAAUUUUGAAUUUUAAGGAGUUAAUUAAAUUAAUAAAUAUAA